rnacentral:rRNA from 1 species
CGGCGGCAUGCCUUACACAUGCAAGUCGAACGGCAGCGGGGAGAAGCUUGCUUCUCCUGCCGGCGAGUGGCGAACGGGUGAGUAAUACAUCGGAACGUGCCCUGUAGUGGGGGAUAACUAGUCGAAAGAUUAGCUAAUACCGCAUACGACCUGAGGGUGAAAGUGGGGGACCGCAAGGCCUCAUGCUAUAGGAGCGGCCGAUGUCUGAUUAGCUAGUUGGUGGGGUAAAGGCCCACCAAGGCGACGAUCAGUAGCUGGUCUGAGAGGACGAUCAGCCACACUGGGACUGAGACACGGCCCAGACUCCUACGGGAGGCAGCAGUGGGGAAUUUUGGACAAUGGGCGAAAGCCUGAUCCAGCAAUGCCGCGUGUGUGAAGAAGGCCUUCGGGUUGUAAAGCACUUUUGUCCGGAAAGAAAUGGCUCUGGUUAAUACCUGGGGUCGAUGACGGUACCGGAAGAAUAAGGACCGGCUAACUACGUGCCAGCAGCCGCGGUAAUACGUAGGGUCCAAGCGUUAAUCGGAAUUACUGGGCGUAAAGCGUGCGCAGGCGGUUGUGCAAGACCGAUGUGAAAUCCCCGAGCUUAACUUGGGAAUUGCAUUGGUGACUGCACGGCUAGAGUGUGUCAGAGGGGGGUAGAAUUCCACGUGUAGCAGUGAAAUGCGUAGAGAUGUGGAGGAAUACCGAUGGCGAAGGCAGCCCCCUGGGAUAACACUGACGCUCAUGCACGAAAGCGUGGGGAGCAAACAGGAUUAGAUACCCUGGUAGUCCACGCCCUAAACGAUGUCAACUAGUUGUUGGGGAUUCAUUUCCUUAGUAACGUAGCUAACGCGUGAAGUUGACCGCCUGGGGAGUACGGUCGCAAGAUUAAAACUCAAAGGAAUUGACGGGGACCCGCACAAGCGGUGGAUGAUGUGGAUUAAUUCGAUGCAACGCGAAAAACCUUACCUACCCUUGACAUGCCACUAACGAAGCAGAGAUGCAUUAGGUGCUCGAAAGAGAAAGUGGAC